UACGUAGGUGGCAAGCGUUGUCCGGAAUUAUUGGGCGUAAAGCGCGCGCAGGCGGUCCUUUAAGUCUGAUGUGAAAGCCCACGGCUCAACCGUGGAGGGUCAUUGGAAACUGGGGGACUUGAGUGCAGAAGAGGAAAGCGGAAUUCCACGUGUAGCGGUGAAAUGCGUAGAUAUCGGAAGGAACACCAGUGGCGAAAGCGGCUUCCUGGUCCGACACCGACGUUCAGGCACGAAAGCGUGGGGAGCAAACAGG
rnacentral:rRNA from 1 species